GAAUAUAUUUGCAGUCCCGACCGGAAUUAGGCAAGAAAAAGUCGGACUUCCAUGAAAAAAGUAUCGAAAACAAUCGAGCUAGAUAUAAUAUUAAGAUAUUUUCUCUGAUUAAGUUUUAAUGAUCCAUAUCCAUACAAAUACGUGAUUGAACAUUUGAGCUAUCCCCAGCAUCCUCAAACAGUUUUCUGAACACCGAGAACUAAACAAUUUCACUUUUUCUGGUAAAAUUAUAAGUUUGAUUAUAGAUAAUGCCACUUGCACAUAAUAGUCCUCCAGAAGAGGAGCCCUUGAGAGAUUACAUGAGAAUCCAGCCCUACAAGGCCCCCACCCCACACAAAGACAUCUAGAAUAUGCAUUAGAAACAAAACAUACAGUAGCUAGCUAGAAAACAACAAAACCCAAACUAUACUACCAGAUUACUGUGAAGCAAAAGGAUCUGUGACCCUGGCCCUGGAGAUUCAACACAAACAUCAUCUAGCAAUCUUCCACUCACCCUCUUGCACCACAUCAUCAUGUACUUGUGUCCAUCAUUAUUCCCAUAUCCAUGGAAGCCCAACUCACCAGCAAUAUAAACAGUCAUAUCGUGAUGAAAUACAGUAACGGAACUACAGUACAUAGGAACCAGCGGAUAUAUAUAGGCCCAGAUUUAUUCAGUAUUCUGUAGCUCCGUCAAGAUACGUACGUUUAAUAUAAGUACAUAAAUAGUUCAAAUUACGUGAAUACCAGUACCCAUGACAGACAGUCGACAAUUAAUUCACGGGCUUACACAAAAUAGUCUUGAGCACAGUUCCUCUCCUCGGAAGCUGCACUGGCUUAUCAAGCAACCUGGACCGGCCUGCCGUCUGGCCAGAUCCAUUCUGCCUGCCGCCACCCGAAUUCUCCCCAGCAGAUGAUCCAUUGUUAUUGUUGUUGCUCCCCCCUCCAUUGCCACCUGCUUGAUCAUCCAUGAUUAUACAGUACUCUGGUUAGUGGGGUUUUCUAAGGCUUAUUUAUAGGAUAAGAACAAGGAUUGAAUUAUAGGUGAAGAAUUCAAUGGGCGUGCAUUAUUUCAGUUUUCUAAUGGGGUGGUAGGGUUUUCAAUUGUGUAGGGA
rnacentral:lncRNA from 1 species